rnacentral:rRNA from 1 species
AUUGAACGCUGGCGGCAGGCUUAACACAUGCAAGUCGAGCGGGGGAGGUUGCUUCGGUAACUGACCUAGCGGCGGACGGGUGGGUAAUGCUUAGGAAUCUGCCUAUUAGUGGGGGACAACAUUCCGAAAGGGAUGCUAGUACCGCAUACGCCCUACGGGGGAAAUCAGGGGAUCUUCGGACCUUGCGCUAAUAGAUGCGCCUAAGUCGGAUUAGCUAGUUGGUGGGGUAAAGGCCUACCAAGGCGACGAUCUGUAGCGGGUCUGAGAGGAUGAUCCGCCACACUGGGACUGAGACACGGCCCAGACUCCUACGGGAGGCAGCAGUGGGGAAUAUUGGACAAUGGGCGGAAGCCUGAUCCAGCCAUGCCGCGUGUGUGAAGAAGGCCUUGUGGUUGUAAAGCACUUUAAGCGAGGAGGAGGCUACUAGUACUAAUACUACUGGAUAGUGGACGUUACUCGCAGAAUAAGCACCGGCUAACUCUGUGCCAGCCGCCGCCGUAAUAC